AGUGAACGCUGGCGGUAGGCCUAACACAUGCAAGUCGAACGGCAGCACAGUAAGAGCUUGCUCUUACGGGUGGCGAGUGGCGGACGGGUGAGGAAUACAUCGGAAUCUACUUUUUCGUGGGGGAUAACGUAGGGAAACUUACGCUAAUACCGCAUACGACCUACGGGUGAGAGCAGGGGAUCUUCGGACCUUGCGCGAUUGAAUGAGCCGAUGUCGGAUUAGCUAGUUGGCGGGGUAAAGGCCCACCAAGGCGACGAUCCGUAGCUGGUCUGAGAGGAUGAUCAGCCACACUGGAACUGAGACACGGUCCAGACUCCUACGGGAGGCAGCAGUGGGGAAUAUUGGACAAUGGGCGCAAGCCUGAUCCAGCCAUACCGCGUGGGUGAAGAAGGCUUUCGGGUUGUAAAGCCCUUUUGUUGGGAAAGAAAAGCAGCAGGUUAAUACCCCGCUGUUCUGACGGUACCCAAAGAAUAAGCACCGGCUAACUUCGUG
rnacentral:rRNA from 1 species